AGCCCUGAGGUGUUUACAUACUAGAUUGCAAACCUAGAGUAGUAGGGUGAGACCUGCCGGGGCUU
rnacentral:tRNA from 1 species